GGCUCUGUGAAGUUAUACAGAGUUUGACCUGCCCGGUGUAAUUUUAUUAACGGCCGCAGUAUCCUGACUGUGCAAAGGUAGCAUAAUCAUUUGUCUCUUAAUUGGGGACUGGUAUGAAGGGUUUGACAGGAGCUAAGCUGUCUCGGAAUAUUUUUAUAGAAUUUAACUUAUAGGUGAAAAGGCCUAUAUGGAUUUGAUAGACAAGAAGACCCUGUCGAGCUUGAAAUAGAAGCUUAGAAUAAUUUUAUAUUUUUGGUUGGGGCGACAGAGGAAUAAAUGAAACUUCCUUAGUAAAGUUGACGGACUUGUAGUGAUCCACUUACUAGUGAUCAUUGGAAAAGCUACCGCAGGGAUAACAGCGUAAUUUUCUUAGAGAGUUCUUAUCGAAAAGAAAGUUUGCGACCUCGAUGUUGGAUUAGAGGAGCCGAAAGGUGUAGAAGCCUUUAGUGGUUAGUCUGUUCGACUAUUAAAUCUCUACA
rnacentral:rRNA from 1 species